rnacentral:rRNA from 1 species
AGAGUUUGAUCCUGGCUCAUGAUGAACGUUGGCGGUGUGCCUAAUACAUGCAAGUCGAACGGAGUUAGUAGCAAUACUGGCUCAGUGGCGAACGGGUGAGUAACGCGUUGGUGAUCUGCCUUGAAGUGUGGAAUAACGUUUCGAAAGGAACGCUAAUACCGCAUGUGCUCUCGAUUUUCAGAAAGUUGAGAGUAAAGGAUUUAUUCGCUUCAAGAGGAGCCUGCGUCCCAUCAGCUGGUUGGUAGGGUAACGGCCUACCAAGGCUAUGACGGGUAGGGGACCUGAGAGGGUGGCCCCCCACAAUGGAACUGAAACACGGUCCAUACACCUACGGGUGGCAGCAGUAGGGAAUAUUAGAAAUGGACGAAAGUCUGAUCUAGCAACACCGCGUGUGCGAAGAAGGCCUUCGGGUCGUAAAGCACUUUUUGGAAGGAAUAGGAAGGAAUGUACUUCCAGAAUAAGUCUCGGCUAACUACGUG